GUUUCCGGCAGCUCCGGCUAUUUUAAGGCAAGCGCUGUCCCGGUCUUCUCGCUCUAGGCCUUCUGCUGUCUGGCUACGGAUCUCGCCUUUUCCCCUCCGGAGCCCCGCCAGCAUGCGACCCUGGCCCUGCUCGCUGCUGGCCGCCCUCCUCCUGCUCUUGUCCGGCGUCGGCACCGCGCACUGCGACACACCGGCCAACUGCACCUACCCUGAGCUGCUGGGCACAUGGGUCUUCCAGGUGGGCGCUGUGGGUUCACAACGCAACGUCAACUGCUCGGUCAUGGGACCACCAGAAAAAAAAGUAGUGGUGCAUCUUGAGAAGUUGGACACAGCACGUGAUGAUCUUGGCAAUACCGGCCAUUUCACCAUCAUUUACAAUCAAGGCUUUGAGAUUGUGUUGAACGACUACAAGUGGUUUGCCUUUUUUAAGGAUGUCACUGAUUUUAUCAGUCAGUUGUUCAUGCAGCUGGGAACUGUGAGGGUACAUGAUUUGAGACAUCUGAGGAACAAACUGGGGGGACACCUCUACUAGAAGAUUACCACCCCCACCCCACCCCCAGUAUUUGCUCUGUAAAUGGGAUAAAUAGGCUUGUACCUGGAAAUAAGGAUCAAAGCAGCAUUAAGCCUCCCUGUAGAAUUUGAAAGUUGUUACAUAGAGCAUCUGUUGAGGGGCUCUUUUAAAACAACAGCCAAGCACAGACUUUGGGGCUAAGAGGCAGAGCAGCAUUCAGCCAUGGACCUGCCUCCCUCUAACAGCUAGCAGAGGCCUCUGGCAGCUACAUUCCCUUCUGGAGUCUUUCUGUGCCUGUAAAAUGCUGAGCAGUCCUGGUGACCUACCUCCAAGGCAGCUGCCCUCCGGAACAUUUCCUUGGAAAGCAGCAACCACCAUUUUGAAAUGUGAACAACCAGAGACUACACAGGAAAAAGGAAAAGAAAAGUCUGGAAGUCUUAGGUGGCUUCACAAUUCAGCCUUUGAAUGAAAGGAAAGAUAUGCAACUCAAGUUUUUCCCUUUGAAUAUUACUCUACUGAAAUUAUUUUUUCCAAACUGAUUAGGAUUUGAAUUUUGUGUUUAAUUUUGUUCAUAGUGCAAACUUUAUUCCCAGUUAAAUUAUCUUUGUGUGUACCUUCUUUCUCUAAUUACCUUGAGGAACCCCAGCACCUACUGUAAGGAGAAAAUGCUUCAGGAUAUCUCAAGAUGCACAGAUAUGUUAUUGGUGGAAAGAUGGUUCUGUGGAGGACUUGGUUGGGGGAACAGGCUUGCUGAGAUAAGUCAAACUGCUAAAAGCUAUCUUUGCAGAUCAUAGGCCUGCAUUACCCUGGCCAGAAAGAUGGGGUGAUUAAUACUUUUUUUUUUUGGCCUAUUUUUUGAUUAGAUGCCAGCUUUGUACUAAGAACUUGAUGUGCUUUACCUUACAAGAAUCUUACGAAGUAGAUAUUACUAGCUUCAUUUUCUAGAUAGGGAAAUGAGUCUCUUACAGUGCUUAAACUCACAUGGCAUCUAAUUGUAAAAUGACAAGGGCUAGUCUCUCAAGCCCAAGGACCUCCUUGGGGCUAAAGAGUAAAAGAGAAGCCAUUUCACAAAGAAGUAAUGGUACUUGGAGUAGGAUUUCAAUAGAUUUUCUGGUGAAUUCCAGUUUGUAAGCAUCUUGAAGGCUAGUUUAAUAGAAUGAAUUGCAUUGCGUUGGCUCCUUUUGAAAUUUUAGGAGAACUGGCUUAAAGCUUGCGUUUCCUUACCAAAUUAGGCUAUUCCCUUUCUUUCCUAAACCAGAGUCCUUUUCAAGAGGAAAACUUACCUUCUUUCCUCUUGUAGUCCUCCAACUUGGAAGGAGAGCUUUGUAAGCUUCAAAUUAAUUACAAAUUAAGUACCGUUGCCACAUUGACUUCUUGCAGUUACACUAUUGUUCACACUGAUUGCUAUCUUUCAGCUCUUUCCUACUAAACAAUGGACUAGUUUCCUGCUCAGUUCAGUAAACUGAAAAUGUGGGGCUACACCUAGUCCCUAUUUUCUGGGAGGGCUUUUCUCCUGUAUCUUUGCUUUGAUGGAGGAAUCUCUAGAUACCGUAUUUUUAUCAUUAUUUUAUUGGUUUAGAUACUUUUAUGACCUCUGAGAGGCACUGGUCUGCUAUUCUGGGCAGGUCAUGUCUUAGAAAAGUGAAGUAACUGUACAUGUAACUAUUUCUACCUGGGUACUUUCUUCCAUCCUACCUCUGGACCUGAUCAUUUGUCACUCAGGACCUUGACGCGGCCCCUGUGAGACCCUCCCCAGCACUCUCCAUUUGUGGGAGAGAUGCCAUUAUUUGGUUCACGUUGUGCUUUGCAGUCACCUCUGCUCAGGUAGUACUGUUCUAACUGCUGUAGACAUGGAGUGAUUUUGAUAGCACAUUUUCACCUUCUUCUGGAUUCAAAAUCUGUUGAUCUCCCUGUGUGUCUUCAGAACCCUAUCACCCAGGACUUGAUAAGUGUUUGGAAAAUUGACCACACUUCUCUUGUCUCUUCAAAGGCUUUUUUCACAAGUAUUGUCAGCUUGCAAAGAAUUAAUUCUAUAGGAUUCUAGAAACACAAAUCAGGAACGAUGCUAUGUUUAUAUUUUUGGUUCUGUGUUCUAAAAAAAUGAGGUUACCCGUCUCCAGAGUUCUAAAAGAGUGGUAUAUUUUCAACCUAAUUUCCAGGUUGCGAAUACUGAAUACUGACAAAGCAGCUAAUAUGUAUAAGAAUAUAUUUCAUAUCGAAUUUAAAAUCACCUCUUCUAAAGUUUUUUUUUCUAUUUCUCUGAGCAACUUUGCACAUAAUGUUUUGAUUUUGGAGAAGACUUGGUGGGUACAUUUGUUUUAAGAAGCGCCAUAACAUAAUACUGCUUAGCAUUCUCUCAUAACUGUUUGUCUUCUCUAGUCUUUAAAUUCAGAGGGCAGGAAUGUACUCUAUUAACCAUUUUGUUCCCUGUAUAUAGUGUGAUAGGUGAUAAAUAGACCUUUAAUAAAUUUCUGUAGAAGAAAGAAAAUGAAUAAUA